AUACACCCAACUCAGAGCUUGUAGCUGCAUUCAUUUUUCGCUUUAUUAAUAUUGCAUUAUUAUGCCCGAAACAGAAAUUGAAUGCGUUCAAUAACUCUCAGAUUACACACGGAAAUUAUUACAUUUUUGCGCAGCUACAAGUUAAAAUACUAUAUUAUUUUAGCUGCUUAACCAGAUGCUUGCCCGGUAUCAGCAAGUAUAUAAGUUGAGCUUCCGAGUAGCCCAUUUAGAUUCGAAGUGUCGGCCCGAUCGCCAACUCCCCCAUUUGGAGUCCGAAGUUUUACGGCUAUUUUACAACUAGUUAAACGAUCUGAUCUCAAAGUAUUUGUCCAGCACCUCGUCCGUAACCAACUUGCGUGCUGCCUGAUGCUGCUCCACAAUGGGCGUGACAGUCUGGCGGGGGGAAAAAAUAUCAUUUCACCCUUGCCGUAGGCCACGCGCACCUCCUCCAGCUUGUCAUCAUCUUCGAGGAAAAACUUUAACAGCUGAUAGGCCACAUCGAU
rnacentral:sRNA from 1 species